UAUUAAAAAUUUUAUUCGUUUGUACUAUUAAAAAUUAAUAUAGAUGACAGAAUAAUCAAGCAAUAAAACAUGACAUGCCACAUAUGUUUUAUGUUAACGUACAAUAGCCCGAUUUUAAUAAUAAAAACGGAUAAAAUUUUUAAUA
rfam:Gossypium hirsutum cultivar TM-1 chromosome 9, whole genome shotgun sequence